AUGAGCAGCAAGCGGGUGUGCCUGUGCGUCGCCGUUUCCUCGCUCCUCCUCCUCCCACUCGCGGGCCUGGUCUCCGCGGCGGCCGGGCGAUACGACUCCAUCUUCAGCUUCGGCGGCUCCUCCUCCGACACCGGCAACAACCUCAUCGUCUUUCCCCCCAGCGAGCGCGUCAACUACGUGCUGCGCCCUCCCUAUGGCACCACCUUCUUCGGCCGCCCCACCGGCCGCUGCUCCGACGGCCGCCUGGUCAUCGAUUUCAUCGCGCAACACCUGGGCCUGCCGUUCGUCCCGCCGUCGCUGGCGCACAACGAAAGCUUCCGCCAAGGCGCCAACUUCGCCGUCAGCGGCUCCACCGCUCUCGACGCCGCUUUCUUCCACCGCCUGCUUCCCCGCACCAGGAAACCUCUCAACACCAGCCUGGGCGUGCAGCUGCGGUGGUUCGAGUCUCUCAAGCCUUCGCUCUGCGGCACAACCCAAGAGUGCGAAACGUUCUUCAGCAGAUCACUCUUCGUCGUGGGGGAAUUCGGGACCAAUGAUUACGGCAUCUUCGUGCUGAACGGCGUGGCAGGGAUGACGCUGAUGCCGCUAGUUCCAGAUGUCGUCGGUGCCAUCUCCAUGGCCGUCGAGGUACCGACCUCAAUUGCUUCAUCAACAAAGCAAGCUGCACCCGGCACCGCCAUCGUCUAUGCCGACCGAUUCGGCCCCGUCAUGGACAUGAUGGAGUCGCCUGCCAAGUUUGGUCUUGAAGAGGACGCUCUUCUUACCCCGUGUUGUGGAGGGCCCGACACGCUUCUCUGUGGUGAAGAUGGUGGAAACCUAUGCGAGAACCCGUCGGCUCGCCUUUUCUGGGACGGCGCCCACCCCACGGAGGCAGCUUACCACUACAUGGCUCACCUCUUGCUGCGCAGCAUAGACGACACCACUGUAAGAGGGGCCAGCUAUACCAGUUUGUAA
rnacentral:rRNA from 1 species